AAGCCUCUGACCAACAUGACUGUGGCACGUGUUGGACGUUAAAUAGGUUUUAAAUGUGAUUUAAAUCAUCACCAACCACAGAUCGAUGUCUUCAACCGACGCUGAGAAGCUCAUCAUCCGCCUGCUGGGUUUUAAUCUCCACGAUUAUUCCAUGAACAACCUUUAUUUACACAGAAACACCUGACAGGUGCCAAAUCACCACAAUCUGAGACAACAUGGCCUCUGUACCUGAACGUUGUUAUGUGCGUUGCUAAUAGGACGUCGAUUGGGUUCGUGGGAAAAUGACGAGGAGUCCUUGAACGCACCACGGCUGCUAAUUGGAAAUACCAGCUAAGAGUAAAUGAGUUCGAGUUUGAGGAGUUCUUUGGCCCCUCAACCAGUUUGGAGCCAGGAA